rnacentral:rRNA from 1 species
GCGCGAAAACUUUACAAUGCGGGCAACCGUGAUAAGGGAACCUCGAGUGCCUGUAUAUGCAGGCUGUCUGGGUGUCUAAAACACACCUAAAGAAAGGGCCGGGCAAGACCGGUGCCAGCCGCCGCGGUAAUACCGGCGGCUCGAGUGGUGGCCACUUUUAUUGGGCUUAAAGCGUUCGUAGCUGGGUUAUUAAGUCCCUUGGGAAAUCCGACGGCUUAACCGUCGGGCGUCUAAGGGAUACUGGCAAUCUUGGAACCGGGAGAGGUGAGGGGUACUUCGGGGGUAGGAGUGAAAUCCUGUAAUCCUCGAGGGACCACCUGUGGCGAAGGCGCCUCACCAGAACGGCUUCGACAGUGAGGGACGAAAGCUGGGGGAGCAAACCGGAUUAGAUACCCGGGUAGUCCCAGCCGUAAACGAUGUGCGUUAGGUGUAUCGGUGACCACGAGUCACCGAGGUGCCGAAGGAAAACCGUGAAACGUACCGCCUGGGAAGUACGGUCGCAAGGCUGAAACUUAAAGGAAUUGGCGGGGGAGCACCACAACAGGUGGAGCCUGCGGUUUAAUUGGACUCAACGCCGGAAAUCUCACCGGAUAAGACAGCUGAAUGAUUGUCGGGCUGAAGACUCUACAUGACUAGCU